rnacentral:rRNA from 1 species
UACGAAGGGGGCUAGCGUUGCUCGGAAUCACUGGGCGUAAAGCGCACGUAGGCGGAUUGCUAAGUCAGGGGUGAAAUCCUGGAGCUCAACUCCAGAACUGCCUUUGAUACUGGCGACCUUGAGUCCGGGAGAGGUGAGUGGAACUGCGAGUGUAGAGGUGAAAUUCGUAGAUAUUCGCAAGACCACCAGUGGCGAAGGCGGCUCACUGGUCCGGUACUGACGCUGAGGUGCGAAAGCGUGGGGAGCAAACAGG